CGGCCCCGAGCCGGGCCGGUGGGGAGGGGGGGGGCCGGGCCCGAGGGUGGUGAGGGGCGAGGGUGUGGGAAAGAGGCCGCGAUGGGCGCGCCCGCGCGGGCUGCCUGGACGUGUCCGUAGCCCCGAAGGCCCCGGGCAGCCCGGUGCCUUUUUUACAGCAAACCAGUCGAUGUUAAAAAACGGCUUGGCCGCUCUCCAGGAGCGAGGGCGGAGGUAUGCGGUGAGCACAGGCGGGAGCCCGCAGCGGUGCUGGGGGACGGUGCUGCACCGGGGCAGGUGGGCCCCGUGCCUCAAACACUGCCGGCCUCCGCGGGGCAGCGCUCUUCAAACCCAGCAGUCGUUUCUUCUAAUAAAUAAUGCACUACGCUUACACAUACGUAUGUAUGCACACGCGUCUCUAUAUACAGGCCUGAGCUGUUCAUUACCAUCACACCAAGCAUGACUGUAAAUGACCUUCUGUACCCUUGAUUGUAACUACUGAGUACAGUAAACACCGCCUGGACAUCGCCUCUGCAAAAAUCUCCCCUUUCUUCCCCUGGGGCUCUUGUCAGCUCCAGGAUGACAGGAAGCAUCUGCAUCAGCUCCCAGCAACACUUCAGUGGUGCUUGCAGACAAAUUCCUAUUUCCCAAAGAUGGGAAGAAGAUUCCCAGAAGAAGGAGGUCAACUGCCUCAGACAGAAGGGCCAUGGAAGAGCCCCUUGGACACUCCCCUUGGCGGACAAUAUGCUGAUGCACGUUAGUGACUUGAUAGCGAGCUCUUGCUUUGUGGGGGCUGCUGAAGGAUGUCCUUGGUGCUUCUGUGCAGUUACGGGCUCACUGAGUCUCUCCACCAGCAUGCCACUGUGGGUUUGGCUGCAAGGCUUUCAAAGCCUGAGUGCAGCGAGCAGUGCCCAGGUGGCGUUUCUGAUGGCAUCCAUGAUGUGUCUUCUGGUAGAGGAAUGAAUAGAGCUGCUAACCACUGACCCUUGCAAACCUGCCAGAGGGAAAAAAAACAAUAAAGGAAAGUAGGCAGCAGAGCAGGGCCACACUAUUUCUAGCAACUGAGAGCUCUGAUCAGGAGAUGGACAGGUGAGGAUUUCAUUGCACUGGGGGGCAGGCUGCAGUGUCUUCCAGGCCCGAGCGGUCUGCCUGCUGUGGGGCUGCACGCCAGCAUACCCAAUAGUGUGCUAACUGUUGCUGUUUAAUCUCCAGCAUCUUGUUUGACGCCUCGGUGUAAUAAUGAUGGAAAUAAUAAAUGGCGUGCUACAAAGCCGUGUGCGUGGACUCGCUUUGUGCUGACGGCGGUGCCUUGCUCCCGGCGCGGCUCGGUGCCAGCCUGCUUCCAGCUGAGUCAGUUGGAGCAGGCAAAGGCCCAGCUCAACAGCUGGC
ensembl:lncRNA